UACAGAGGUCUCAAGCGUUGUUCGGAUUCAUUGGGCGUAAAGGGUGCGUAGGUGGCGGGGGUAAGUCAGGUGUGAAAUCUCGGGGCUCAACCCCGAAACUGCACUUGAUACUGCCUUGCUCGAGUACUGGAGAGGAGAUUGGAAUUUUACGGUGUAGCAGUGAAAUGCGUAGAUAUCGUAAGGAAGACCAGUGGCGAAGGCGAAUCUCUGGACAAGUUUACUGACACUGAGGCACGAAGCCAGGGGGAGCAAACGGG
rnacentral:rRNA from 1 species